GACGAACGCUGGCGGCGUGCCUAAUACAUGCAAGUUGAGCGCUGAAGGUUGGUACUUGUACCGACUGGAUGAGCAGCGAACGGGUGAGUAACGCGUGGGGAAUCUGCCUUUGAGCGGGGGACAACAUUUGGAAACGAAUGCUAAAACGGAUUAAAACUUUAAACAAAAAGUUUAAGGUUUAAAGAUGGAAAUGCAACAACCCAAAGAGAAUCCGCGUUGUAUUAGCUAGUUGGUGAGGUAAAGGCUCACCAAGGCGAUGGUACAUAGCCGACCUGGGAGGGUGAUCGGCCACAUUGGGACUGAGACACGGCCCAAACUCCUACGGGAGGCAGCAGUAGGGAAUCUUCGGCAAUGGACGAAAGUCUGACCGAGCAACGCCGCGUGAGUGAAGAAGGUUUUCGGAUCGUAAAACUCUGUUGGUAGAGAAGAACGUUGGUGAGAGUGGAAAGCUCAUCAAGUGACGGUAACUACCCAGAAAGGGACGGCUAACUACGUG
rnacentral:rRNA from 1 species